UGGAAAUAAAUGGCUAUUGGAACAGAUGGU
rnacentral:piRNA from 1 species